CCUACGGGUGGCAGCAGUGAGGAAUAUUGGUCAAUGGACGAGAGUCUGAACCAGCCAAGUAGCGUGAAGGAUGACUGCCCUAUGGGUUGUAAACUUCUUUUAUAUGGGAGUAAAAUGUUCCACGAGUGGGAUUUUGUAUGUACCAUAUGAAUAAGGAUCGGCUAACUCCGUGCCAGCAGCCGCGGUAAUACGGAGGAUACGAGCGUUAUCCGGAUUUAUUGGGUUUAAAGGGAGCGUAGGUGGAUUGUUAAGUCAGUUGUGAAAGUUUGAGGCUCAACCGUAAAAUUGCAGUUGAAACUGGCAGUCUUGAGUACAGUAGAGGUGGGCGGAAUUCGUGGUGUAGCGGUGAAAUGCUUAGAUAUCUCGAAGAACUCCGAUUGCGAAGGCAGUUCACUGGACUGCAACUGACACUGAGGCUCGAAAGUGUGGGUAUCAAACAGGAUUAGAUACCCCAGUAGUC
rnacentral:rRNA from 1 species